CGGGGGAGGGGGAGCAAAGAAGGGGCCACCGCCUCACGGCACACCUUCUGUCCCCUCCGGUGGCCCCCAGCUACCCCCAGCUGGGAGCUGUUUGGGGAGACACAGGCAGCCCCCACUUUGACGGGCUGAGGUUUCAUGAGCCCGUGGAAAGAAGACCCAGCUAAAAUUAACCGUUAUCAAGCUGUCAGCCUGGAAAUAAACCCUCCUCCUAUUGGCUGCUGGUGAUGUCACUGCUGGGUUAAUAAUAACCUGCGAAUGCAUAACUGACCAGCUGGGCAUGUGCCUUCCUGCGGGGCCAAGGCCAGUGGUCACCCUGGGAGCUGCUGCCCGGGCAGUGACUUGGGGGCAGGAUGGGGGUCAGGGCUGAGCACACCCUCCAGCCUUGGGGUGUCUCAGAAUGACCUCAACUCCUGGCCUUGGGCCACAGGCUCCUGUCUGUCCCCAGGACUUCCGGUGUUCACCCUCACGUGCGGGGUCAGUCACAUCUCAUCUCCCAGCCUACCUGGGCAGCAGGACCCUGGACGGCCUUGGGGUCAAGGUCCUCCCUCCCCCAGCUCCCCAGGCUGGACAACCAGGGAACUGAGCUGCCCAUGAGUCCGCACAUUAGGUGGUGUCCAUGGAGGAGGAACUGUCGGCUGCUGCGCUCCCCUCGGAAAAACAGACCGGAACGAGGGAUUCUCCUCUUGCCCUUGAAGAAGAGAACUACCAAGAUGCGAGAAGGCCUGUAAGGGGCCACAGGUCAAGGAACCCCUAAGACCUGUGAGUGGCCUCCAGCUGUCCAGCCAAAGAAAGCAGCCAUGUGACCUUAGAAGAGGACCGCGAGCUUCGUAAGGAAACUGAUGGCUUGGUGGCACCCGUCUGAAGCCCUGAGCAGAGGACCCAGUAAGCCGUGCCUGGACCCCUGACCCAGGGAGCUGGGUGUGCACAAUAAACGCAUGUUUUGUAAAGCCA